UGUGGGAGCGAGCCUGCUCGCGAAAGCGGACGGUCAGUCACUUCCUUGUUGAAGCGACCGCCGUCAUCGCGAGCAGGCUCGCUCCCACA
rnacentral:antisense_RNA from 1 species